CGGGCGGUAGCACAGAGAGCUUGCUCUCGGGUGACGAGCGGCGGACGGGUGAGUAAUGUCUGGGAAACUGCCUGAUGGAGGGGGAUAACUACUGGAAACGGUAGCUAAUACCGCAUAACGUCGCAAGACCAAAGAGGGGGACCUUCGGGCCUCUUGCCAUCAGAUGUGCCCAGAUGGGAUUAGCUAGUAGGUGGGGUAACGGCUCACCUAGGCGACGAUCCCUAGCUGGUCUGAGAGGAUGACCAGCCACACUGGAACUGAGACACGGUCCAGACUCCUACGGGAGGCAGCAGUGGGGAAUAUUGCACAAUGGGCGCAAGCCUGAUGCAGCCAUGCCGCGUGUAUGAAGAAGGCCUUCGGGUUGUAAAGUACUUUCAGCGGGGAGGAAGGUGUUGUGGUUAAUAACCACAGCAAUUGACGUUACCCGCAGAAGAAGCACCGGCUAACUCCGUGCCAGCAGCCGCGGUAAUACGGAGGGUGCAAGCGUUAAUCGGAAUUACUGGGCGUAAAGCGCACGCAGGCGGUCUGUCAAGUCGGAUGUGAAAUCCCCGGGCUCAACCUGGGAACUGCAUUCGAAACUGGCAGGCUAGAGUCUUGUA
rnacentral:rRNA from 1 species